rnacentral:rRNA from 1 species
UGGGGAAUAUUGGACAAUGGGCGCAAGCCUGAUCCAGCCAUGCCGCGUGAGUGAUGAAGGCCCUAGGGUUGUAAAGCUCUUUCACCGGUGAAGAUAAUGACGGUAACCGGAGAAGAAGCCCCGGCUAACUUCGUGCCAGCAGCCGCGGUAAUACGAAGGGGGCUAGCGUUGUUCGGAUUUACUGGGCGUAAAGCGCACGUAGGCGGACUUUUAAGUCAGGGGUGAAAUCCCGGGGCUCAACCCCGGAACUGCCUUUGAUACUGGAAGUCUUGAGUAUGGUAGAGGUGAGUGGAAUUCCGAGUGUAGAGGUGAAAUUCGUAGAUAUUCGGAGGAACACCAGUGGCGAAGGCGGCUCACUGAACCAUUACUGACGCUGGGGUGCGAAAGCGUGGGGAGCAAACAGG